UCUGAGCAGACCAAGAGCGGCGAUAAAACACAACAGAGACCAGGAACACGGAAAGCAGGUGAACGCAGGCUUCAGGUGUCAAAUCAGUGCCCAGGCUGUGACACUGCGCUGGGAUGACACCCCGUGGCUUCAGCGCCCCGCCGCCCCCACGCCUGGCGUCCCCGGGGCCACGGCUGCCACCUGCUGAGUGGCUGGCUGGAUCCUUUCAGGUUACAGUCACCCGGGUUUUGUUAUCCAGCUUUGGGGGAUUAGUGCCCAUCAACUCCCCCAGGGCACAGGACGCAGACCCCGGGGCUGCUGGGAGGUGGCUGGACUCCUUGGGCAGUGGCAGGAGAUCCCAGCCCCGUCCACUCUGCUCAGGUACAGCUGUGGAAUGGGCAGCGAAAGCCUGAGCGUGGCGCUGUGCUGAGUGUGGGGGCCAGAGACGCGCGUCCUUCAAGAAGCAAGCCCUCGUGUUGCCUUCCGAGCAGCGCCUCUGUCUCCUUCCCCUUUCCGGGUCUGUGGUUGAAUGAAGCUUUGCCCGGAACAAGCCUCAGAGGCAGAUGGGGGAAGCCUCCUCCCCAAAAACAUGACCCUUACCCGUUACAGAUUCACUUCUUUGGGAUAAGGAUGCUUGGACCCCAGCUCAGCCCCGUAGAUUCAGGUGCAGCGAAUAUCAGUUAGUGCCUGAUCAAUCUGUUCUCAGGGUUUCCUGGGUGACUCAGAAUGCACACCAGUGGCUAAGGCAUUAAGUCACCUCCAAACCCUUCCAUCUUGAAUGUCCUGUUGUGGCUUAAUGUUUGAUACUUCCCCAGUAAGCGGGCUGCCUUGGGUUGAGCGAACAAAUUCCUUGUUUGACGGGCGAAACCAUGGCAGGUGGCCAGAGUGGCGGUGAUAUCCCGUGUCCCGGUGGACCAUGAGAGUGGGAUUCUCGGGACCGCUGGCAGGGCCCUCGAGGCUGCUGGGCGCUGUGUGUGGAAAGGGGAGCCUUGUAGAAAGGAAGCGGGGAGGAGACGUGGUCGUCCAGUCUGCUCGACAGGCCAUCCAGCUCUCAAGCUAACACUUGUGGAAUUGGUGAUUCCUACGAACAGGAAUCCCCCCCUUCCCCCACACACACAUAGCAAAUGGCCUAGACCUGGGUCUCCAGCUGCAGAAGAGUUCGUCCUGGCCGCCUCCCUGCUCCGGAAGUGGGACUGGCAGCAUCGGCCUCCAUUUACAGGUACUCAGGAUUCUGGAAUUGGCAAGGAUGAAGCACUCUGCAUUUAUAAAUAGUCUCCUGCUUUUUGGGAUUUCAAUGACUAUUAUGAUUGUUCUCCCUCAUUUAUAAAUUAUUGCUGGGAAAGGCACAUUCUCAAAUACUCAUUGCUCUUAAGAGAUAAUGAUCUGUGCUGAGCGCCACAGCCUUCCCCGUGCAGGAGCCGCUUUAUUGCACUCGAGAGUCAGCGUUGAGAGGAAUGUGGUGGAAGGUGCCAGAGAGAUACGGCAGCUGGAAGAGGGCGGGCUGGCGUCGCCGGGUGGCUCUGGCCCACGUGCUCCGGAAGCGCCUCUCCAGGUUGGACCAAGGGAAAAACAGCCACCUUCCCCACUGACCUGUUCAAGGGACGGAGACGCAGCUUUGGGGCGUGAUCCCACUUUAUUCUCAGGCCCGUGUUCAAAAGUGGGGCCCAUUACUAUCGCCAUCGGCUCAGGAAGAAUCGAG